AAUGCCGGGAUUAGGAGGGAUGGACAUGCAGAGCAUGAUGAGCCAGAUGAGUGGGCUGCUGGGAGGUGGUGGAGCUGCAGCCGGGAGUGGAAGAGGGAGGGGGAGAUAAUCGUCUCAUUCGUGAUGAGGUUUCUCAUUGACUACUCAUCUGGGUUCCAUUUUUGACUUUUCAAUUUCUUUUGUCAGGGUGUACCUUCUACAAGACGGCAUGAUGCAUAUCACAUAGAAAGGCGUUAACGGAGCGACCUUCAAUUAUUGUCUUUCAAUUCCUUCCCUCAAUUUUGUGUAUGUAUGCCUUGGUGGGUUAUGCUAAUAUGAAUUCGGAAUACAUACAAUAUUUUAUAGAUAUUAAUUCCGACUCUCGAACGCCCUCUUAUUAUUGCUUAUAACCUUGGUUUUGUGAAAGAGUUAUUUAUAAUACAACAGGCAACGCUCCGCGAGUUGCGUUUCAAAAGAGAUAUCCCCUCGAGCAACCAGCACCAUCAACAACACCUAAGCGGUGAUUGAAGAGGCAACUGUCUUAAGUACACCGAUAAUUCUAUAGUUAUAAUAAAUAAGAAACACCAAAGAUAUACACCUAGCCGGG
rnacentral:sRNA from 1 species